UCUCCUUCUUCUGCAGUUCGCGGGGGGCUCACCAUGCGGGAAGGCCUGGCGGUGUGCGAGGCAGUGCGCGCUACGGGACACCUCAGCGCCCUCGAUCUGGUGGAGGUGAACCCGACGCUUGGCACAGGUCGAGACGCCGCCCGCACCGCUCACGCCGCCCGUCUUUUACUUCUCAGCGCUCUCACCGGCUACAGGAGGGCGUAAGGGCGUGAGGGUGUAGCUAAGGGUCAUAUUCCUAAACGUAUCGGCCUUACAUUGCUAUAUAAUGGCUUUGAUAAGGGUUAGGGGGGGAUGUGAAGGUUCUUAAAAUGAUUCUUCGGUACAGUGAUAGGUGAGUUUUGGAAUAUGUGUGAUAGUGAGAAGAAACAGGAGGAUGAGGAGGAGAAUUUCAAGGAGGAGGAGGAGGAGGACAAGUAAGGAGUAAGCAGGAGGAGAGAGAGAUGAGGUCAGAAGGAUUUACGAGGAAUGAAAGGGAUAGGAAUUUUGUAUAAGGAGUCGGAGAAGAAACAGGAGGAGGAGAAUUGCAAUGAAAAGGAGGAGGAGGUUAGGUAAGAAAUAAUCAGGAGGAGAGAGAUAAGGUCAAAAGGAUUUACGAGGAAUGGAAGGGAUAGGAAUUUUGUUCUAUAAGGAGUCGGAGGUUUAUAGGAAGGAGGAGGAGAGAGAUUAUAAGAGAAAUAAUGAAUGCUUUGGAUAUGUAUCGGCUUGUGUCGGUUUAUAUCGGUUAAUCUGAUGGCCUCGUUUUCGUUUCUGAAUAACUUAUAUCGAUCCGCUUUUGUUUUGUAUGAGAGCAAGCGAUGAAAGUUCCUGUAUUAUUAUUAUUAUUAUUAUUAUUUGACCGUGGGCAGCUCCUUUGUUCACUAUCAACCUUAUUUAUGUCUUUCCUUGUCCUUAAAGUUACAAUGGUCUUAUAUGAUGAUUCUCCUGAAGAGCUGAAUGGAUAUGAAACCUAAAAAAACAAAUGGCUUAUGCACUCC